rnacentral:lncRNA from 1 species
UUUAAAAUACCACUCUUGGAUAAUUUGGGUUUACCAGCGCUGUUUUCUGGAUUACCUUCAAAGAUAGAGUGUGUGUUGUGGAAAGGUCUCCUCGACAACCUAUGAAAAGGGUUUUGAAGCUGCUGUUAUAUUUAUUUGGUGGAAUUAGAGUACACAAGUCAGAAAGAUUUAGUGUCGAAGGCCCAUAUUCCAACAUCCGACUGUCCUUUUCAAAUUGGUUGCUUUUGCAUGCAUAGAUGAUACGCUCAUAUGGAGCAUAGGGACCAUGUUCAUUAGUGUCAUAGAUUGCAUAAAGUGAUUACCUAGAAAUUACAGUUAUCUAAAUUUGGGAUUGCUCAUUGAUAAUCAACAAAUGCUGUCAAUUAUUCAGUACUUACUUGUCUGUCUUUGAUGUGUUCAGUUCUGAAUUAUUAUCAGAACAAUCAUUAUCAUCAAGCACAUCCACAGGCUUCCCCGCAAAAGAAGACCCUUCUCUUUUGGAGAUGCGCUCUGAAGUUUUACUCGAAGAUCGUCGACGAUGGCAAUUGCAUUUUCCAAUAGGUUCAGGUUCUCAUUAUCGAGUAAGUAGGAGAUAUUUUGAAGUGCCGAUAGUUUUUCUCGAAAUGUCUGCUUUAGUUUAUCACAUCGUAGCGACUCAGAUAAUGACGUGGAUGUGGCGUUGAUGUGUUUUUCUGUUUCGAGCCUGAUUGGCGCUGCUGUU